AAUCAACGCUGGCGGCGUGCCUCAGACAUGCAAGUCGAACGCGAAAUUUCCCUUCGGGGAGAAAGUAGAGUGGCGCACGGGUGAGUAACACGUAGGUAAUUUGCCUUUGGGUGGGGAAUAACUCAGGGAAACUUGAGCUAAUACCGCAUAAUGCAGCGGCUCGACAUCGAGACAGUUGUUAAAGCGGGGAUUGGAGCAAUCCGACCUCGCGCCUAAAGAGAAGCCUGCGGCAGAUUAGCUAGUUGGUAAGGUAAUGGCUUACCAAGCGACGAUCUGUAACCGGCCUGAGAGGGCGGUCGGUCACACUGACACUGACAUACGGGUC
rnacentral:rRNA from 1 species